rnacentral:rRNA from 1 species
CCUACGGGAGGCAGCAGUGGGGAAUAUUGGGCAAUGGAGGAAACUCUGACCCAGCGACGCCGCGUGGCGAAUGAAGGCCUUCGGGUUGUAAACCGCUUUCAGCAGGGAAGAAGCGAAAGUGACGGUACCUGCAGAAGAAGCACCGGCUAACUAUGUGCCAGCAGCCGCGGUAAUACAUAGGGUGCAAGCGUUGUCCGGAAUUAUUGGGCGUAAAGAGCUCGUAGGUGGUUCGUCACGUCGGAUGUGAAACUCUGGGGCUUAACCCCAGACCUGCAUUCGAUACGGGCGAGCUAGAGUUUGGUAGGGGAGACUGGAAUUCCUGGUGUAGCGGUGGAAUGCGCAGAUAUCAGGAGGAACACCAAUGGCGAAGGCAGGUCUCUGGGCCAAUACUGACACUGAGGAACGAAAGCGUGGGUAGCGAACAGGAUUAGAUACCCUGGUAGUCCACGCCGUAAACGGUGGGCGCUAGUUGUGGGGACCUCCCACGGUCUCUGCGACGCGACUAACGCAUUAAGCGCCCCGCCUGGGGAGUACGAUCGCAAGAUUAAAACUCAAAUGAAUUGACGG